GAUGAACGCUGGCGGCGUGCCUAAUACAUGCAAGUAGAACGCUGAAGGAGGAGCUUGCUCUUCUGGAUGAGUUGCGAACGGGUGAGUAACGCGUAGGUAACCUGCCUGGUAGCGGGGGAUAACUAUUGGAAACGAUAGCUAAUACCGCAUGACAACAGUUAUUGCAUGAUAACUGUUUAAAAGGGGCAACUGCUCCACUACCAGAUGGACCUGCGUUGUAUUAGCUAGUUGGUGAGGUAACGGCUCACCAAGGCGACGAUACAUAGCCGACCUGAGAGGGUGAUCGGCCACACUGGGACUGAGACACGGCCCAGACUCCUACGGGAGGCAGCAGUAGGGAAUCUUCGGCAAUGGACGGAAGUCUGACCGAGCAACGCCGCGGGAGUGAAGAAGGGUUUCGGAUCGUAAAGCUCGGUUGUAAGAGAAGAACGAGUGUGAGAGUGGAAAGUUCACACUGUGACGGUAUCUUACCAGAAAGGGACGGCUAACUACGUG
rnacentral:rRNA from 1 species